AGCUGAAUAGCUCAGGGGAAGAGCGGUGGGCCCAUAACCCACAGGUCCCUGGAUCGAAACCAGGUUCAGCUA